AACCGCACAGGAUAAUCUAUUAUCCCGUGCGGACGAGUUAAGCGGACCGCACGGGAAUAGUUUAUUUUUCCGUGCGGUU
rnacentral:pre_miRNA from 11 species